CCUACGGGAGGCUGCAGUGAGGAAUAUUGGUCAAUGGGCGCGAGCCUGAACCAGCCAAGUAGCGUGAAGGAUGACUGCCCUACGGGUUGUAAACUUCUUUUAUAAAGGAAUAAAGUGAGGCACGUGUGCCUUUUUGUAUGUACUUUAUGAAUAAGGAUCGGCUAACUCCGUGCCAGCAGCCGCGGUAAUACGGAGGAUCCGAGCGUUAUCCGGAUUUAUUGGGUUUAAAGGGAGCGUAGAUGGGUUGUUAAGUCAGUUGUGAAAGUUUGCGGCUCAACCGUAAAAUUGCAAUUGAUACUGGCAGGCUUGAGUACAGUUGAGGUAGGCGGAAUUCGAGGUGUAGCGGUGAAAUGCUUAGAGAUCAGGAAGAACACCGAUGGCGAAGGCAGCUUACUAAACUGCCACUGACAUUGAUGCUCGAAAGUGUGGGUAUCAAACAGGAUUAGAUACCCGGGUAGUC
rnacentral:rRNA from 1 species